AUGGCACAGGCGCAAGCUCCUGACGACGGCGGCGACGACGCGGCCGUGGAGCAGUGCCCGAUCUGCAUGCAGGAGCUGGUGGCCAACAACCGUGGAUCCGUCAAGAGAUUGCCCGGCUGCUUGCACUCCUUCCACGAAAGCUGCAUCCUACAGUGGUUCUGCAUGGCGACGACGUGCCCGUGCUGCCGGCACGACCUGGCAACGUACAUCCGCCGCGUGUACGGGGUGAUCACGCCGCCAGCGUCCUCCUCGGAGACAGCGGCUCCGUUCAACAUGCGGCAGCAACAGAUGCCGGCAGGGGUUUCUUACAGCCCCGUAGGACCAUUGACGCCGGUGCAUGAUGGACCCUUGUUCCAGCGUCUGGGCUCUGUCUAG
rnacentral:rRNA from 1 species